AGCAGCCGCGGUAAUUCCAGCUCCAAUAGCGUAUAUUAAAGUUGUUGUAGUUAAAAAGCUCGUAGUUGAAUUUCGGGGUUAGUAGGUUGGUCAUGCCUCUGGUAUGUACUGGUCUCACUGAUUCCUCCUUCCUGAUGAGCCGUAAUGCCAUUAAUUUGGUGUCGUGGGAAAUCAGGACUGUUACUUUGAAAAAUUAGAGUGUUUAAAGCAGGCUCGCGCUUGAAUACAUUAGCAUGGAAUAAUGAAAUAGGACGUUUGAUUCUAUUUUGUUGGUUUCUAGGAUCGACGUAAUGAUUAAUAGGGAUAGUUGGGGGCAUUAGUAUUCAAUUGUCAGAGGUGAAAUUCUUGGAUUUAUUGAAGACUAACUACUGCGAAAGCAUUUGCCUAAGGAUGUUUUCAUUAAUCAAGAACGAAAGUUAGGGGAUCGAAGACGAUCAGAUACCGUCGUAGUCUUAACCAUAAACUA
rnacentral:rRNA from 1 species